GCCUCCUCCGCCUCCUCCUCCCCAGCAGCGACGGUUACUGACGGGCUGGGUGUGCGGCACGGCUCCUUCACACAGUGCCCGGCCCCAGCCCCCGGCCCCCGCCUCCCUCCCUCGCCGCCCGCCUCCUGCUGCCGGCCCGAGCCGCGCUCGCUCGGCUCUGAGGGAACCCGGGAGCUGCCGCCGCGGCCGCCAGCCUCCCCGCGGCAGCCACUAGGGGAGGAGGCAGCGCGCCUGCGCCACCGUCGCCGCCGGGCGCGGGGAGCUGCCCGCCGAGGGGGUGACGGGGCGGGGGGAGGCCUUGCCGCCGCUGCCGGUCCCGGCUAAACGGGUCCCCAGGCCGGCUGCGGGCCGCCUCAGUGCGCAGUUGCUAUACUGCGCAGGGGGAAGAGAAUUGCUUUAUGAGUGUACCAUCAGGACCGAUUGCAAGGAUUUCGGUUCUCCUCUUAAACUACGAAAACUUUGCUCAUGGCUUUCUCGUUACUUGGGUGUUGUGGACCCCUACAUCCUCUGUACCAAAUGUCAGGGUAUGCCCCUCUCUGCAAAGCCUUGCACUUAUCUUUUUUCUGUUACUUCACUUGCAUUGCUAAUCUUACCAAGCUUAAGUUUUUUUCACUAUGCUGCAGCACCUUCCUCUGCUGUUUCUUUUGGAUGGAACAUGCUGCCACCAUCCUGCUCCAAAAGCACCAAGUCUGAAGUCCUGUAAGCCCCAGUGGUGGAGGAUCCCUGUGGAAAGCCCAAGACGAUGCAUCUUGCCAUUAACAUCUGUAAAAAUCCACAAAAGAGUUUUAACUAAAACGUGGCCUGAAGAAAGUUAAUGAAGUCAUUAGUAGUUGCAUCACAAAUGAAAACACUAUGGAUGAUUUUGGUCUUAUCCUUCAGGCCUUGAUGAAUCAUGAAAAUGACAGAAAGUUAAUUUUGGGUUGUUUUUUUUUAAGGGAGCAGUAGCUGUAAGUAAAAGGAGAAAAAUCAAGAACAAAAUUAAAUAAUGGAAAGCUGAUGACAAGAGCUUCUACUGGUAGUGACCAGUCUCUUGUAAACUGAAAUUUUCUUGCAUCUUAAUGGACCUUUUGACCUAAUUUACAGAGUUUCUUGUUAAUUAACUUUUUUAGAAAGGUCAAACCUUUUUUUCUGCAAAGAUAAUGUACUUCAACUAAGGAGUCUUUUAUCAUCUACCGUAGGAAUACAGCAACAUAAAAUUCAGGUUUUUUGAAUAUCAACAAAUUAAUAAAUCACGAGCAGUAAGCCUGGAGUACUUCAUACCCCUUUGCCCUGUCCUCACUUUUCAAUGACAGUUAAAGAAUGAUAUAAAGAAUUCCUUUUUGUGUUUGUCUGUUUGUCAGGACCAGUGCAAAUAAUCACAUAGGCUUAUGAAAGCAGACAGGUUAUCUAUAAGCAGGCUCAUCCACUUCCAGUUUGGAGAUGAGUAUAGUUUCAAACAGAAAGAAAAUGAUGUUCUGAAAAUCCACAUGGACCUCUUAAUUGUGGGAGAAGUGCGAGAAGAAUGCUCCAUGUAAAAUGAGCAUGCCACAUCUAGAUAAAAAUUUCUAUUUCAAUAUCAAAAAUGCUUAUUAUGCAGCUUAUUACUUCUGAAAAUUGUUGCACCUCUUGAUCGAUCAGGUCAAGAGUUACAUGAAGCCUUACAUGCUUUACAUACAGCACACCUCAAAUGGGAAUGACACUGCAGGAAUAUUUACAUUUUCAAAGCAUUCUUCAUAUUUGAAUGACAGCUGAAUGAACCAUCCCUUAAAAAAAGAAAGAAAGAAAACAGACAACACUUCUUCAUUAAAUUAACAUGAUAAGAAAUAUUGAAGGAACGUCUAGCAAACUAUAAUGAUCAUAGGACUUGCAAUAAUAGGUUGUGGGGGCAAAAAAACCCUACCACUCUCUUAUUUUGGAAUUUUCCCUGACCGAGUACUAGGAUCCAUUCCAUUUCAUGAUUUUUUCAUGCAAACUACAUAAAAUACUUGUAAAAACUGAGUAAUUUCCAUAACAGAAUUUUGGCAAAUUAAAUCAAAACAGGUUGCUAUGACAGUUCCUACAAAUAUUUCUAUUUUAGCUUUAUUUUGUGUUAUAAAUAUGUCAAGAUGAAGCCAUUUCUGUCAAAACAGAAAUUUUUCCUCUUGGGAAAAUUUUCCAGGCAUUUUUUCAAUGCCCUAAUUUUCAGUAUCCAUCAAAGUCAAGACGAAGGCUAAUUUCAAAUGCUCUAACUUACAUCUGCAUAAUCAUAAACCCACGAGACAUAGCUUUAGUCUUAUAAAUGAGUAAUGUCAUUAGAUACAGUAUUGUUAGUUUAAUUGACUUUGUUUACUGCUCUGUAUAACAAGUGACUGAAAAAUAAAUGA